rnacentral:lncRNA from 15 species
AAUGAUGCAUAAAAUGUUUAAAGGCAAUCCAAGACGUUGAUGUGUAAUAUGAUAUGAUGUCUGCAAGAUUUUAAAAAAGUGCUUCUUGAAAUCUUAAAUCUUCUUGAAAAUUUGUUACACACAAAUCACAUUUUAUGUUAAAAUUUUUUUUAUCCUGUUAUUAUCAUUGUAAAAUUUGCAUUUCAUUUUAUCUCAGAAGACAAUUCAGAGUCCAGCAAUUCUCCACCGCUUCCCCUGAUAAUCUCCGUGGCCGCAAUGGUUCCAUUGCUCCUCAUUGCUCUCGUCUGUUUCUGCUCUCUGCGAAGGAGACAAGCCCAAGCAGCCAGGGUGAUCUACGAGGUUCCCCAUACUGACUCUGAGGUGGCAGAAAUGGACAAACACAGCACCACUUCCUCCAGAGGCUCUUCUCAGUGGGUGAGUCAAAUCUACAAAGACACAAAUCUACAAAGACACUAGCAAACAAAAAAAGUCAGCAUUUUCAAAUAAAUAUGUGGCGUUAUUAGACUGGCAAGGUUUUUGUUCCCUUUUGUUGAGUGUGGUGAAAAAGGAAUCGAAAUGAGCUUAAGGGGGAGAAUACACUCACAUACAGCAGUCUUAGCCACACUGUGACCUGAUGUGCGUUCAUUGCCCUUUUAGUCAACAUUACAUCCUUUCCUAAAUUCAGUCUUAGAUAGUUUUUAAACAACCUGUUCAAAUUUUCUAAACUCUUCCCAGACUUGCUUUCUAUGAUAUAUAAUCUGUGUGAGCUGAAGUGUGAGACAGGUUGGGUAACGUGGUGAAUUGUGUGAACAUGCAUUCAUAGACCUACUCUUUAAAGACGCAACAGAACCAAAUGUUAUAAAGCAAGCUAUACUAAACCACAGUUCCACUCCCACUCACCAAAUGCGAUAAGUCAACGUUGUAGCGAUAUAAAAGCAAUGUGAGUUUCCAGCCUUAUUUGUUCACUAAUUUAUCAGAUGUUCUUACUUCAGUCAGCCUCUUUUCAGAAGUUCACUCAGUCACAGAGCUUUGUGGCAUCGGCACAUCAGGUCUGAUUAAGUCUCCUGGCUAACCGGUACUAGACAUCAUAAAUAGGCUGGUUUUCCAGCAGUUCACCAGGCUCAAAAUCAAACCCAACCGGUUGUGUUCGCAGCAUUUCACUUGUUCCCCAAUCAGAAUGUCAACAAACGACACUGGUGUCUAAAAACCAUAUGGACAGGAAAGAGGAAGAGAGAGAGAAAACUCUGGCCUCAGAACAUAUCAUUUUUUGCGGAGCAUAAGGCCAAACUGAGGGGGCACGGUGGCCAUGGCCGUCACCUCUGUGAUAUUCCUGCCCUGCUCACUGCUAUAGUACUUUGUGAGAUUGUACUUUGUAGAAUUGUUGUGUUAGACUAAAUUAUAUUGUAUGUAUAUUUCUUUCCACCUCAUUGACAUACAUGGAGGGGCAAUACAAUCCUGUAAAAAAACACCGCAAUCUACAUGCUUGAUACAUUGUCAGAAACAAUUAAAAUAUUUAAUCAGGAUAUGAUUUAAUACGCAGCUUGUCGUACUGGACCACAGUGCAGAGGUUUAUUGUCAGUUUGAAUUAUAACAUCUGGUUUAACUCUGUACUUAACGCAGUAAAUUCCAGUUUUGAGACAUUGUUAUGAAAUAUAACUGACAUCCUGUUUGUGACUAAUAGCGCCUAUUGCUCACGCCUACUCAAAUUUAUAUCACAGACAUUAGCAAAUGUCUUCUGUCGACCUUUGCACACCACAAAAGCAGGCUUUUUAAUGUUACCCUUAUUUGACACUUUUUGAUGUACUACCUAUACAGCGUAACGUGUAAUUGUUUUAUUUCUCUGUCUCUUUCAGUGUCAGGUACCAGUGUAUGAAUCCUUCGAUUACUUUGAACGUGUGCAGACAAAAGAGUGAAGAUCCUCAUCCUCCAGGAUUUUCCUUCCCUACUUUGCAGCAUGUAUAUCUUAUGCGUCCAUUAUACCUUUGCCUGAAUUAUGUAAAUGAUUUUAUAUGAGUGUAAAUAUUUUUUAUUUUUUAUAUAAACUAAGUCUCAUCCAUCUUUGUGGUCUUAAUUCAUUUCAAUGAUGUUAUGGUGUGUGUGUGUGUGCAUUUAUCGACAGUUUUAUUUAAAUUACAUGCUUUUCUUUUUGACUUGAUCAUGCUACCAGCUAGUCAGGGGUCUACAUCAAUGAGUGCCACUGAUCAUACAGCAAAUAUGCAGGUUUCACAAUGACUUCAAGUCAUGAUAAGGACGCUGGGUGGAAACUGUGGUGUUACAGGGUUCCUGCAUAAGAGGUCAAUGACAGGAAAUGGAAACAGUGCCUGUGACAGUUGGGGUAGUUUGUUGCUGGCCUUAUUGUGUACAUCUUCAUUACACAAGCCACAUGAAUCUGCAUCAACAAGCGACUCUUACCGUUAAUACAAUUUGCUUGAUGCCAUAUUUUACUAUCCUUAUCUUCAUAUUACGCAUCUCUCAACACAUGUGCUCUGUUGUGUUCAUUUUCUAAAGUUUCCAGAGAUCACUUUGGUAAAACCCCGUUAGAAUUAGACUCAAAUGAAUGAGUUACCAAUACUAGUCUUAUGAACAAGUCUUGGCAUAGCAAGGAAAUCACUCCAGCAUUAGCUAGUAUUUAUGUCCUAGGUCAUGUUGCUGGCCAGCAGCAGUUCAUUUUGGACAUUUUGACGCUGCAUACAAAUAAAAACAGAUUUCAUUUUGAAACAGGC